rnacentral:rRNA from 1 species
UACGGUGGGGGCGAGCGUUAUUCGGAAUUAUUGGGCGUAAAGGGCGCGUAGGCGGCUUGAUGUGUCAAAGGUGAAAUCCCUCGGCUCAACUGAGGAACUGCCUUUGAAACUGUCUGGCUUGAGGCCGGGAGAGGGUAGCGGAAUUCCCAGUGUAGCGGUGAAAUGCGUAGAUACUGGGAGGAACACCGGUGGCGAAGGCGGCUACCUGGACCGGUUCUGGCGCUGAUGCGCGAAAGCGUGGGUAGCAAACAGG